GACGAACGCUGGCGGCGUGCUUAACACAUGCAAGUCGAACGGAAAGGCCCUGCUUUUGUGGGGUGCUCGAGUGGCGCACGGGUGAGUAACACGUGAGUAACCCGCCCUUGACUUUGGGAUAACUUCAGGAAACUGGGGCUAAUACCGGAUAGGAGCUCCUGCUGCAUGUGGGGGGUUGGAAAGUUUCGGCGGUUGGGGAUGGUCUCGAGGCUUAUCGGCUUGUUGGUGGGGUAGUUGCUUACCAAGGCUGUGACGGGUAGCCGGCAUGGGAGGGGGACCGGCGACCAUGGGACUGAGAGAGGGCGCAGUCUGCUACGUGCGGCAGUGGUGGGGAAUAUUGCGGAAUGGCCGGAAGCCUGAUGUAGCAGCGCUCGGUUCGGGAUGAUGGCUUUCGGGUUGAAAACCGCUUUCGCCGGAGACAAACCGGGAGUGACGGUAAUUGAUAAGAAAGCCCCGGCUAACUACGUG
rnacentral:rRNA from 1 species